rnacentral:rRNA from 1 species
CCUACGGGUGGCUGCAGUGGGGAAUAUUGGACAAUGGGCGAAAGCCUGAUCCAGCCAUGCCGCGUGUGUGAAGAAGGCCUUCGGGUUGUAAAGCACUUUCAGUGGGGAAGAAAGCCUUGGGGCUAAUACCCUCGAGGAAGGACAUCACCCACAGAAGAAGCACCGGCUAACUCCGUGCCAGCAGCCGCGGUAAUACGGAGGGUGCGAGCGUUAAUCGGAAUUACUGGGCGUAAAGCGCGCGUAGGCGGUCUGAUAAGCCGGUUGUGAAAGCCCCGGGCUCAACCUGGGAACGGCAUCCGGAACUGUCAGGCUAGAGUGCAGGAGAGGAAGGUAGAAUUCCCGGUGUAGCGGUGAAAUGCGUAGAGAUCUGGAGGAAUACCAGUGGCGAAGGCGGCCUUCUGGACUGACACUGACGCUGAGGUGCGAAAGCGUGGGUAGCAAACAGGAUUAGAUACCCCAGUAGUC